UUGUUUAUAACCUUUAACAGUGUCCAUAAAUUUCACAUUGAGUGAAUCAUCUUUUAUUCCAAAACAAUCAUUAUAUUUGUUUGAUAUUUGGAAAACUUGUUUUGCAAAUAUUGUCAUUAAUCCUUACAACAUCAUUGUGAGAGUAGUAGUAUUCCCUGCUUACUCAUGGUAAGAUUAAGUUUCCAAUGGUUUAAGCAACUUAUACAUGUUCACAUGGCAAAUAUGGAGUGAAGCUGAGACACAGGCUUCUGAGAUUCUAAAGGUAAUCCACCAGUUCUAUUUUCUCAGAACAAAAUUGUAAUGAAGGAAUAUUUAGAUUUGAAAGAAACAUGGUUGGAGGGGGUUUAAUGUACUUCACUGUUUCUGGUCAGUGUUCUAAACUCUUCUGAUUUAUUUACAUUUUGGUCAGGGGCCAUAUUUUCCCCUUUCCAAAGGAAUAUAUAGUUCAAGCAUCAUGCUAUGCAUUAUACUACAUCAUCACACUUAAUUCUUACAAAAUGAAAUAUAGCUUUAUUCCCUCUUCCUGUUAGUUUUACUUAUCAGGAGACUGACUUAUUUCAAAUUACCCACACAUUAAAUGGAGACUCAAUAUUUGAAUCUCUUAUUCAAAAUUUUAUCUGCCUAAGAAUCUAUAUUUUUUAUAUUUAUUAAUUCAAGACACCAACCAAUAAUCC
rnacentral:lncRNA from 1 species